rnacentral:lncRNA from 1 species
UGUUCUUGGAGGGUUGGAUAUUGCAAGUUAUUUGUUGUCCCUGCCCCUUGUCCAGUAUUCUUAAUUCAAAAGCUACCCAUAUCAUCUUUACCUUUCACACUUUUAGUGUUGAUAGAAGUUGCAGCGUUUGUGCAAAGUUUCAGAGAAUACAUUUCUGUUCUCUACAGCUGCAAUAAAUUAUUGACCAAGUCAAUUAAAUUAUUGGCACAUUCUGUAGUGAUCUCAUCUCAGCUAUCCCAUGUCAAGAUAGAUAAUUUUAAACUUUGGAUGAUGAUGAAGAUGGUGAUGAUGUUAAUUCCAUAUUGCAUAUAUGUCUACAUAUACAUGUAUUUAUGUUUUUAAGUAUAUAAGAGCUUUGUGAUUCACUAAAAAGUUUAACCAGUUUUCAACAUUUUGUCCAUCAAUCUUAUUUUGGUUUCAAAAUGUCAUUGAAAAAUUACAUACCAAAGUUACUUAAAUAAGAGAUGCUCAGUACUUUUAUAUGUUAGUUACAAAGAAUGAAGUCAGAAAACUCUUUCAUUCCUGUUCAAUCUCUAAAUCUUUGUAUUGAAAGAAUGUAUUUCUUAGAUUUAUUUUCAUACUAUCUUAAAUUUCAUAUAGCAUAUAUUUUCAAGUUCAAUAUCUAUAUUGUCUGGUAUUGUCAAAAAAUGCAACAGAAGCAUAUACUAAAUAGUUUAGAAUUGUUUGAAUUAUUUAGUUUCUCCCAAAAUGGAAAGCUGAAUGUCACUUAGCAUAAUUUGCUGACAAGUUUAAAUGAAUUAGACUUGAUAUGGAACUGAAGAAAUUCCCUAAUAUCUUAAAGCAAAAUAUUACUCUUGCUUUAGAGGUUGAAUAUCUCAAACAGCUUUCUUUAAAAUUAUUAUGUGGAUAUGAAUACUAGCACAGGGUGUUUAUUGCUAAUUGGUGUAAGAAUUGACCACUCAUGGGCAUAUCUCCAUGAUCCCAGCUCUAAAUUCAAAAUUCCUUCUUAUUGUAUCAAGAGUAGUUAAAACAAUGUUAUAUUUCUAGUAUCAAACACAGUAAAAAUCAUUUUGCACGGUGGUACAAAUAAUUAAGAAAAAGAGUAACAAAAGAAAGAUUACAAGAGUGAGCAUCACUUUUACUUUCAUUUCAAAAUGUUUCUGUAAGAAGGGUUAUACAAUAAUUUGAUUGUUUAUUAAUUUAUUAAACUACUGAUACCUUUAGAUUAAAGCUUGUUAAUGGUUUUGGACCUUUAUAAGAUAUUCUCCUAAAAAUAAAGUGAAAUAUAUAGAUAUAUUCAUAAGUCAAACUAUUGUAAAUAACAGUUUGUGAAGGUGGAUGAACAAGACAAUGACAGUUCAAUUUUCUUAUCAGUUGUGCAUUAAUUGGCAGCAUUUUUUAUAAACAGUUUCCUCAGUACAUUAUUUACUGCAACAACUGAUCAUACCAACUGAAGCAAUGUGACAAUAUCAGAAAACUUUCUAAACUUGAUAAAAAUUUUAAUUUUUCUUUUUUAUCAUCAUCAAGGAGGUUUCAAGUUGAUAAAUACAAUGUAGAACAUCCUUUAUUGACCGACAGCUAAAACAAAAGAAAAAAAAAAAGAAAAAUCUGCAAAGUGUUGUAUAUUCAAUAGGUGAAUUUAUAUUUCAUGUUGUGCAAUUAUAUAUUUGUGCAGCAAUCAACAGUGUGCAUAUAAUGUAUGUGCAGUGAGUGCAUGUAUGUAUAGCUUGUAUGUUCAAUCUUAGUGGAGAAUAAUGAUUAAAAUUAAGGAAGAAACACUGAAGUUAUCCUGUGAUAUUAGAGGUUGGGUUUCUCUUAAGUUCUUGGUUAACUUAUUUCAUUUGAUAGUUAUUCUCUAUCAAAGCUUUACUGCUAUCAUUCUGCUGACAGAACCUCAUAUUCCUAUUUCUUCCAGAGAAUUUUUAUAUUUCUCUGUUUCGAUCCCUGGAAGAUCAAAUCUUGAAGAUCAUUUCAUUAUUGCGAUUAGCUUUGUUUUCAAUAUUUUAACUCUCCUGGUUGAAUUUUAGUUUCAUAAAUAGUUAUUUAAGAAAGAAACCUAUGUAGGUGAAAUUAUCUAUCAGUAUCAUCUGAAAUAUAUUAAAGAAAAGUUUUGAUACCAGCAGACUGAACUGGAAAUUAACUUCUGUUCUUCUUUGUAUUAAUAUUUUUAUAUUUUUUAAAAAAGAAUAUCAUAUUUUCAGGAGGUAUUUCACAAAUCAAAGACAAAAAAGUAAUCAUAAUUUCCAGAUGGAAACAAACUUUUAGGAAAUGAAUUUUUAAAAAUUUAUAUUAACAAAUACAUUGGGAUAGAUUGCAAAGAGUUUAACAUGAGACAUCAUGCAGAAAAUUAAGUGUUUCAUUAAUUGUCUUCUCUUUUUAUAUAUAAUGUUAGUAUGUAUGUGUACAUAUACAUAUGUAUGUAUAUAUAUAUAUAUAUAUAUAUAUAUAUAUAUAAGUGUAUUACAGUUUGGUGUAUUUUUUCAAUGACUGCUUGACCAUUAAAAAUUUGCCACCAAAAUCAACAUCAUGUAUUGCUAGUCUUUAGAGAACAUAAUUGUUUGUUCUGUUGUGUAAAUUUAUUUGAUUUUGUGGAAAGUUUCUGGGCAUGUCUACCCUUGUAUGUAUGUUUAAAACAAUGUUACAUUCCUGAAUACUGACUGUACAUAAUUUAUAUGAAAUAUUUACUGUCAGUUUUUCAUCUGUAUCUGUCCCAAGUUUUCUUGCAGUAUUCUUUAUCUUGUUUUUCUUCUGUGUUUUCACCUGCCUUUGUCAUGUUCUUUAUCAAGCUAUUGAUUCAGCUUUACAAAUGUGGGAUUCAUUGCAAACCAAAAUAGUUUAUGUUUAAUCAUGGUGGGAGAUGAAACAAAAACUAUACUGUAGGAAAUUAUUUUAAAAUGACAAAAUAAUUACACAAACAAAAUAUAUUACUUGAAGUAAUCAAAAUCUUGCUUAAAAUAGAUUAGCCUUUGACUUGCAACCAUGACAGAAACUGGUGAUGUGUCACAUUAAGUAGAUGAGUGCACAUCCAUAGUGAUAUAUAACUGUAUGUGUAUAUAUAUGUAUGUAUAUAUAUAUAUAUAUAUAUAUAUAUAUAUAUAUAUAUAUAUAUGUAUAUAUGUAAAUACAUAAAUAUAUAUUUGUUCAUCCCAAAUAGAAUGAAAAUAAGCAUGUCUUAUUUAAGGUUUGGUUUUGUGCAAUAAAAUCUGUAUUCAGUGUACUUCAUGAGUAUUUUUAAGAGAAAAAAAAUGAAAGCUGGCAUUUUUUUAAAUCUCACACUUAAUAUCGGUUUGCAUGAUCCCAAUGUAAUAAGAUUUGAGGUUAACAUGUCUUCCCUACAAAAUUUUCAGUAAUACAAGAACACAAAAUGAUAAAAAUAUUUUAUUUUAUUUUUAUUUAUUAUUAUUAUUAUUAUUUUUUUUUUUUUGCAAUGUAGCAUAUCAUGAACAACUACUAUAAGGUUUUUACAAGAGGUAAAGAGUCUCAAUUGUUACUCCUUUAUCUUUCCUGAGUCUACUGGAACAGAGGUUCUUGCAAAAAAAAAAUGCAUUUGAUACAAAUGAAGCUACAUAUAAACAACUAAUAUAAAAUAAAGCAUUUUUUGAAAUUCUUUGUAACACUGCUAUCAUUGUGGACAAAGAAAACAAUGGGUAAGAAACCCAAACUGAAUUUUCAUGAUUUCACAAAGCCCCAGAUGUUAAUGCUGAUACAUUCCACUAGAACUGUGAUACACAAAGUCAGUUCUAUUAGUUUUAUUUUAAAGGAAAGUGUCUCAAUUUGCAGUUGCUGGAAAGGAAAGAUUUUUUUGUGACUUUUUUUUACUUAAAGUCAAUGCUAUGGAUUUAUCAGAAUGUCAUAUUCAGCAAUCACAACAAAUCCAAAAUAUGGAAACUGAUGCCAAAUUUUACUUAAAAGACCAGAAAUAGAAAACUUUCUAUAAAAAGGGUCAAUUGUGUUGAAGAAAAUGAAUUAUAACAAUGGUGAACGUCACGAGGGUUGAAGAAACUAAAAACGAAAACACAUGGAAAAAAUUUGAAAUGAAACAAAUAUUUCUAAAACUGGACAGCUAAACAAUUUGAAAAAAGCAAAAAAAAAAAAAAAAAAAUCCUAACACCAAUCAGAGUAUCCAUGCUUACUUCAUAAGCACUCAUGUACAUAAACUAAAGUGGCCACAUUUUUACAUAUUUUUCUCUUUCUUACUAAUCUGUUUAACCUUGUCUUACUUGUAAGCAAAUAGUUUUGUUGCUUUAUAUUUGGCUACUGGAUGAAAGUUCAAUCAAAACAAGAAUCUAUUUCAAAUGUAAACAUCGCUGAAUCGUAAAAGAUGUUUUCAAAUGAAAAUUUACUAGUCAUUCAAUUAUCUCUCGCUAAAAGUAUAUGAAUUUUUUGAAAAUUAUAUAUAUAUAUAUAUAUAUAUAUAUAUAUAUAUAUAUAUAUAAACAUAUAUAUAUAUAUAUACAUAUAUGUAUAUAUAUAUACGUGUGUGUGUGUAUAUGUAUAUAUAUAUAUAUACACAUAUAUAUAUAUAUAUAUAUAUAUAUAUAUAUAUAUAUAUAUAUAUAUAUACACACACUCUCAUACACACAUAUAUUACACCAAAGAAUGUUCGGUUUUGAAAAAAAAAAGCCUUGCUAAUAACAAAAAUGCUACAUGGUAUUGAAGUUGUUUUGUUCUUUCAGUCUUAAAGGGAACUACAGACCAAAAUGCAUGUCUCACAGAGUUUUUUUGUUUUUUUUAUAACGGUUAUAUGAAAUGGAAAAAAGAAUCUGUUAUUCUUUAAAGGUGGGACAUUUUGUAUGAAAGCCGUGCUAAAAAAAAUAUCAUAUGACCCCCCUCUCUAUUCUAUCUCUCUCACAUAAAUAUAAUAUAUAUAUAUAUGUGUGUGUGUGGAUGUAUAUAUAUAUAUAUAUAUAAAACCGUACCUUUGUAUGUAUUUUAUACUUACAUGUUUAUAUUUGCAAGUAAAUCAUAGUAAAACUGCAUUAGCGAAUAAUGGAUAUGCUCACACACAUGCAUACAUGGACACAUAUAUACACAUAUAUACAGGUAUAUUUAGGUGAGUAGAUAGAUAGAUAGAUAUAUAGAUAGAUAGAUAGAUAACAUACAUGAUUAUUUGUAACUAUUGUAUUGAUGACAACAGAUUUUUGAUUCUCUUGUAGCACAUUCUUGGUAAUGUCUGCUAAUACCCAUUCAAGUCUUCCUCAAAUUGCAGCUAGGGUUCAUAGGCUAUCAAAAGAAUUUUGUUUGCCUUUUUUUAAUUACAGUAUAUGAAGAAGAUAUUGCAAGAAGUGUCAACUGACUAAACUUACAAUACAUACAAACAAACUUGUAAACUGAACAUAUCUACCAUGUAUAUCCAUGUGCUUAUAUAUUUUCAUUGUCAUACAUACUUACACAUAAGCACAUACAUACACACACAUACCUGCAUACAUAUAUAUAUACACACACACACACACAGUGUAUGUACAUAUGUGUGUGUGUGUGUGUAUUAUUGUAGAUAUGCACAAUUUCAAUGUCUAACAGUGAGAAUCCUCCUUACUGUCCAAGGAUUCCUAUCCAUCUUGACUCUACUGGUCACUGUAAGUCACUGAAAUUCCUAAUACCAAAGAAAAAGAAAACUAUUUCCCCAAAAUGUCUGUCUUUCUUUGAGGUUGUCAUAUGGUGCAAUUUAAAUGCAUAUACAAUUGUACAAACUUAUAUAUAUAUAUAUGUAUAUAUAUAUAUAUAUAUAUGUACAUAUGAGCAUAAAUACAUGCAUACACACAUAUAUAUAUAUGCAAGUGUAUGCCAACAUGCAUACAACAUGCAGCUUAUUAUUGUGUUAUGUAAAAUAACAUGAAUAAUCUGAAAUAUUUCUCAAAAAUUUCAUUUGAAUUAUGUUGCUUAUUUCAGUAGUUUUAAUAAAGGUGGUUCUUUACUAGCAAGUCAGUCCACGUAUGACAUAUCAUUACAACAAACAACUAAACCAAUCUGUAUACAUAACAUACAAAAAUAGCAAAAAAAAAAAAAAAAAUUUAAAGCUCUUGAACAUUGUGAAUAAAAAAGAAAGAUUUGAAGGUAAGUCAGGAAAUUCAGGAAUUCACACAAAAAAAAUAACAGAAAACUGUAGAAAGAGAAGGAAGAUCUUUGCAAAUUGUAUAAGCAGCAUGGAAAGAUUGAGAGGGAGUAUGCAUAUGUAUGUGAGUGCAGAGUGAUGUAUGUGCAUGUGUCAAGCUUGCUUUCGUUUUCUGAAAGAAGCACAACAGUACAGACUUAAGAUGUUGUUACAUAACACCUCAGUGCUUCCACUGUUAUUGUUGCCCACCAUUACAUUGUUUAAGCAAUGCAAAAUAAUAAUAUGAGAUGUUAUAGACAAACACAUCUACAAAACAAAUGCCAAGUUGUAGAGAUAUAUAAAUACAUAUUCAUAUAAAUACCUAUAUAAAUGCAAAGAUGUAUAUGUGUGUGUGAAUAUUAUGCGUUCUAUAUAUAUGUGUAUGUAGUUAUAUGUGUGUGUGUGCAUGCUUAUAUAUAUUCAUAUAUAUAUAUAUAUGAGCACACAUGUACAUGUAUGUAUUUUGUUGUAACUUUUCUGAUGACCCUGCAUACACAGGUGAAAUUCUAGAGUAGUAAGAGACUGUCUCAACCAAACUAUAAUAAUCUGUACUUGUACUGAGUACUUUUUCUUUCAUUGGUCAAUAAUGUAGACUAAACAAAUAUAUAUCUGUGUGUGUGUGUGUAUACAUGCAUACAUACAUCCAUAUAUAUAUAUAUAUAUAAAGUUUCUAAAUUUUUAUGACAUAAUACAUACACACACACACAUAUAUAUAUAUAUAUGCAUGCAUGUGUACAUAUAUGUAUGCAUGAAUUGGAUGCAUUUUAUGAGAUAUUGUUGAACUACUAAUCAAGAACUCAUGAGUAUACUCCUAUGGAUACAGGCAUGUAUAUAUAUGGGCUAGCUAGUUCAGUAAGGAGAUAAGACAUUUCCUGCUGAAGUCCCAACUUUUAUUUUGGAUUGAGAAGGGCGAAGUCAUUGAAUUAGGCUAAUCUGAGCAAGCUCUAGUAGAUGAUAUUUGCAUACACAUACACAUUCAUGCAUAUACAUGUGUAUGUGUUUGUAUAUAUUUGUAUAUGUAAGUGUGUAUAUAUGUAUAUGCGUGUAUGUGUGUGUCUGUGUACAUAUAUAAGUGCAGACACAGAUGCAGCUCCAUAUAAAUAUUAACAUAUAUGGGUGUAUGCAUGUGUACAUAUGCCAAUGUGUGUGUGUGUGUGUGCAUGCAUAUAGUACAUAUUGAUUCACCAUGAAACGAUAAAUUACAGAUCUUAUAUGUAACAGUAAAAGGCUCAAACAUGUCAAUUCUUCAUGAUUUGCAUAGUAGCUCUUUCAUAUGAAAAGCUGAAUUUGUUGCCUCUUAAGUCAUCAGAUGCUGGAAUAGAUUUGACAAUAUUACAUGAAAGUUAUCCUGAAAAGCUUAUCUCAACAUUUGUUAAAAAUUUCAUGCAAGCCUUAUUUUACAAAAGUCGCUGCUAUUUUAAGGUGGCAUUUUCCACUCCCUUCCUGCCUUUUGUAGCAAUACAAACAUUUUCUGAAAUGCGUAUGUAUAUUUGUGUGCAUAUAUAUAUAUGUAUGUGUGUGUUUGUAUAUUACACACACAUACAUACAAAUGCAUAUGCACACUCACAUAUGUGUACACAUAUAUACAUAUCUCUAUAUACACACAUCUAUAUAUAUUAGUGUAUAUUAACCAUAGAUGUAUCCUACUUUGUCUCAUUCUUUCUUCCUCCUUUUCUCUCUCUCUCUCUAUCUAUACAUACAUAUAUAUAUAAUAUAGUGAGAGAGAGAUCUAAAAAUACAUCUGACACAAACUGUCGGCAGCCUACAUUGAGAAAAUUUGAUUUGUAUAUAUUUAUAUAAAUAUAGGUAUAUUUAAACUCUAAGAGCAAGGUUCUAAAGUUGGAUACAAGUGUACUUUGGUGGGAAAGCAAAAAUAUGCUGUCUUUUGAAAUUGAAGACAUGAUGGAAAAAAGCAAACAGGAUGACUCAAAAAGUAGCAGCAGGGAGUGGACAUUUGGUUGCCAGUGCAUGGCAAGGAAGUAGACAUGGAUAGAGAUAAUUUCCAUGCUGAAGUUGGGAGAGUGUGUGAGAGAAUGAUUUGUGGCAAGAAGGAAGGGUCAGGGGUGAAGCUGGAAGUAAUCUUUGCAGAAAACAUUCCUAUCAUGAAAAGUUGCAGAUGCCACAAUUCACAGAUAAAGUGAAGGUCAGUCAGAAACUGGGUAGAGCAAGCAAGGUAAAAUCAAAGAUAUGGGCACAGACAUUUAAAUGUUGAAGUGGUGCUUGAACACAAAUGCAUGUGUACAUAUUGUAUGUGACCACAAGCAAUAGAAUUUAUUUAGCAGGCUGGCAAUGUCUCAGCAAGUUUCUACAAAGAAUGUAAGACAAUUUGAUAGGUUCAUCCAGGAAACACACAUACAAAGCAUGUGGAGUAGGGUGGUAUUACAAAACAUGAUGGAGGAAGGAAAACAUUCCUUGAAGCUCAGAACUGCUCUGAGUGAAUAUGAUUCAUUUUUGUUCAUUACAUUUCCAGGAAUGUGAAGCUCUAUGUUGGGCAUAAAGGCUGAACACUAAAGGGUGGUUAAUAGCAUGGUCAGUUGUCUUGAAAUAUAGAGCUUUAAAAAGAUAGGGAAUGUAAUGGAGAAUACAACAGAAAUGAUCAUAGAAGAAAUUGCCCAAGCAAUAACAACCUGUGUCAUAAAAGUAGAGGGCUUCACAGACUUUAUAUGUGAUACUUGCAUAUGAUGUUAGAUGUGCAGUUGAAGUUCAGAGUAACUUGGAGCCAGUAAUGGCUGCGCAUUUCAAAGUUCCUGUUUGAGUACUGCUAGAUGCUAGGAAGCUUCUAACUAGAAUCUUGCAGGAAUUUUUACCUGUUUUGAAGUAUAAAAAGUGUGAUAUCUGAAAGAUUGCAGACAUUAUGGAGUCAGAGAUUCAAGAGAGAAGAAAAGAGAAGUUGGUCUGUGGAAAGUUAAGGGGACUAGGAUGUGCUCAGCUGGGCUGCAUACAAAACAUUCUUAAUUCCCUGUUUUACAAUGAUUGUUUCUGCUGUACCCACUCCCUCAUUAACAUUAUACCUUUAAUCGCUUCUCUUUCUCAUCAUCCAAGCAAUUUUGCUUAAUCUCUCUCUUAACCACAAUAUCUCCCUUUAUCUUUUUCUCGCAGCUGUUUUCUUCCAACUCAAAAGCAACUCAGCACACAUAACCCAGUAUGAUUUCCUAUCACUUCCAGCCUCUUUCUUUUCAUUCCAUCUUGUAUAUUGAAAGAAUGCAACUUCACUUCUCACUUCCCUGAAGAAGGACCUUUGUUUGAAAUGUCAGAAACUCUUUAAUCCACAAAACUGCAUAUUAUAUAUAUAUAUAUAUAUAUAUAUAUAUAUAUAUAUAUAUAUAUAUACACACUCACACACACCUGCAAACAUAUAUAGACACAUGCAAACAUGAUAUUUGUGCAAUGCAUGCAUAUGUAUGUAUAUAAAUAUAUAUAUAUAUAUAUAUAUAUGUAAUAUAUUUGUACAUAUGUAUGUAUACUUAUAUAUACAUAUAUUUAUACAUAUGCAUGUAUGCUUAUUUAUAUGUGUAUAUAUAUACAUACAUGUAUGCACAUACACGUAUAUGUAUGUACACACACACACAUUCACAAACAUAUAUAUAAUCACUUUUACAUGAAGCCUAAUGCUCAGAUGUAUGUAUUAUAUUUAUUCUUUUGGAAUGAUGUUGACUAUUCUGUCAAUUUAAACUGCCACCUACCAUCAUUGUGGUCAGUAAAGCAUUAACGAUGUGCAUUUCGAAUGCAUUCAUGUAUCUCAAAAUAUUUAUUUUUCAGUAAAUAUUUAAGAAAUAUAUCAGUAGUAUCUCUUAAUUUUAGAACCUCUCUAUGCAUUAAUUGGACAGUCCUUUGCAUAUUAAAAUUUGUUAGAUUUACUUGAAAUAUAUUAGAUGUAGCAGCUGGUUUAGAUUUUUGUAUUUUUCUAGUCUGGCAUCAGGAAAACAUUAGCACAUUUGUUAAUUAAUGAAAGGAAUUUGUCUUAAAAUGUGAAUGUUUUGAAAUUACAGGAAACCUGUCAAUUUGGGUUUCUGAAGGAAUGUAGAAAAUCUCUGAAAAUGGAAUUUUGUUACUGGAUUUUUGGAGUUAAGCCUUAUGGUGUGCCUUUCUCAUGCCAGAGCCUGUUGAUGGUUCCUUAGAAUGCUGACAAAUCAUCUGUCAAAUGAGAAAUUGGAAUUUGCUGCCAACUUCAUAUAUGGUCUAUGGACAGUGUUCCAAGGAAUUGACUGGUCGUUAAUGCACAGACAAAAUGGUUGAAAAAUUAUUGAAAUUUGAAAAUUGUGGUUGUUAUUUUUGUUGUUAUUGUUAUUAAAUGUUGGUCUGAAAAAAGUUACUUAUUCAACAACACAUGAUGUUUUUAAAUUUAUUUAUGUCUAAAAUGCUUCAGUUUUAGCCUAGUUACCAAACAAUAUAAUAUACAAAGAAUUUCAUGAAAAUUGAACCAUUCGAAAGGAAAUUGACAGACAGUAAAUUUUUUUCUGUUUCAUGAAAAUAAAACUAAAUUUAUGAAAAAAAACUAUUCAAAUGAUAAAAAUUGUUCCAAUAAGUCCCAAUUUACUUAUCCAUUAACAUAAAAUUCACUUUCAGUGAAAGAAAGUAUAAGCAACUACUAUUCAGUCAAAAAUAUUUUAGAUAAUUAUAAAUUAUCUACCAUAAGACUUCAUCAUUAUAGAUUAACUACUAAGAAUGCAUGAGAUUUAGUCUCCAUUCUUAAAUAUCAUGGUAUAAAUACAAAGACAUUCUUUCAAAACUAUUAAAUAAAUUAAUUCUUGGGAAAUAGAUCUGAAGAGUAAAUACUUAAUGUUACAAUAUAAAAUAAAAGAAAAAUGACCCUAUCAUUGAAAUAGCAAUUCUGAUUUUAGGAAAUCAUUUUAAUAGUUUCUUAUAACUAACCAACUAUCAACUGCAUGCUUUGGGUUGUAUAUAAUACCAGUAUCAACAAAUAGCUAAAUUUGUAAAACAAAAAUGAAAUGUUGCCCUUUCUUUGAAAUCCAGUGUUGUUAUUAAACUUUUUGAGUCGAAGUGACUGGAUUGGGAAGGUACCUGACUACUGGCUUCCUGGAAGUUAAUGUGCAUCCCAAAAAGACAUUGUGUUGUUUCCCAAAGCAAAACACUUCUGUCUACUUGCAGAAUCAUAUAUUUAUUACUAUUGUUUCUCUUUUAUAUAAAACUGAUGUUAAUAUAUUUGUAAUAAUGAUAUUUAUAAAAAAAACAACUUAAUAGAUGUUGAUGAUACUGGUGAGGAUAGUAGUAUCAUUGUAAUCAAGGUAUUAGCUGUAGACGUUUCCUGUAAUAACUUAAAUAUCAGAGAAAAUGUAAAAUGUAUUUUACAUUUUAAAAUGUAUUUUAAGAAUCAACCUGAGAAUUGCAUCAAAUUAUAAAUAUUUCAUCAUGAUUCUAACAUCCGAACUCUAAGAUGGUAGUGAAAAUAGUUACCAACAAAACGUUGAACUAAGUUUUUUUUAUGGGAUCAAAUUCAGUACUUCUGAUUAAAAAUCCCAUUAAAAUUAAUUUUUGCCUUUCAUCUUUUUGAGUUUGAUGAAAUAAGCACCACUGAUAUAGCUCCGACCCUUAAAAAAGAUGUAGCUUUGUGCCUAGUUUAAAAAAGUCAAUCUUAUUUAGUUUCAGAAUACAGUCUUUCUUAUUUUACAUGUUAUAGACAUUUGUGUGUUAAUAAAUGUUGUGGGGUGGGGGAUGAGAUAGGUGGGUGUAUGUGUGUGUGUGUGUGUGUGUCCAUAAUACAAAUGAGUGUAUGGUGUAGUGGAAGUAGUAGCAGUAGUAAUAGUAGUAGUAGUAGUAGUAGUAGAAAAACAUCUGGUUCUGUACAGGGAAGUAUUUGCUGUAUCAGUGUUUAGGUAUGAAUGGGCAUAUUGCUAAAAUGAAAAAAAGCAAGGAGAGUGACCAGUGUGAGGCAUGGUUUUUAAUAUACAUAUGAAUAUUCCAUGAACAAGGUGGGAAUCUGCUGAAAAAAAAAAAUAAAAUAUACCUUGGACAAUAUUUAUAAUAAAAUAAAAAUACUAAAAAAAAAUACACAACAGCUGGCUGCUUAAUAUGAUGAAAUUAUGGUUGAUCUCUGACUCCUUGCCACAGGUGGCACAGUCAGGGAAAAAUGAACACGAGGUGUUGUAAAUAAUUCCUUUAUAUAUGUGGAUUUCAAUAACCAUGUAUAUAUAUCUUUAUAUAUAUAAAUAUACAUGUUUGAGUGUGUGUAAAUACAUAUAUAUAUAUAUAUAUUGAUAUAUGCACACAAAACAAACACAUGUAUGUAUAUAUGUGUGUGUGUGUUUAUGAAUUAUAUAUGUGCGUGUAUAUCUUUGUCUAUAUGUAUUAUAUGUUUAUAUCUAGAGAUAUAAACCUAUAUUUGUAUGCAUAUAUAUAUAUAUAUGUAUGUAUAUGUAUAUAUCUUGGCUAUAUAUCAAAUGUGUACAAAACAAAUAUUUUUUGCAUGAAUAGCAGAGGCAAACACAAAUGGAUACAAUAAAAGAAGAAAAUGAUGCUAACGCAAAGUUAUACUCAUAUUUUAUAAAAUCUCGUACGUUAUGUGAGGAAUAUUUUGGACAUCUCACAGUAAUAUAUAUGGACACAAUUAUACAGUUGCAUAUGCAUAUUAGAAUGAACAAACACAUAUAUAAGCAUUAUAUGUAUGUGUGUAUAUAUUACUAUAUGUAUUUAUAUAUAUACUAUGUGAAUUUGUGUAUAUGUGCACAUAUAUAUAUAUAUGU